AAAAGCAACAUCAGCACAGCUAUUAGAGCUAAUGAGCAAAAGCAGGGACACCUGGGAUGUAAAAAUUAAAUGAUAAAUAAAUAAAUGGCAGCCAACUACCUGUUAGUCUCUACCUGUGAGGACCCAGGAAGGCUAAAUGGUACCUUCAUUUCUGGACUUUCCCUUUGAUCACAGAAGCACAGAUGCAGACCCUGGGAAAUAUGCCUUCUUUUCUUACAGGCUUUUUUUUUUUUUUUUCCCCUUGGUCCUUAAUGGAGAUCUUGAACUGCAGAGCUGCCGUGUCAGAACUCAGAUGGUUAACAUUCACUUCUUGCUGUUUUAUUGCAUAUUACUGUGCGCGCCUGAGCAGCGGGAGCAGAUUCGGGCAAUUACAAUCAAGUCAGGGCACACGCCGCGGCGGAGCAACACGAGCAUGAUGAGGAUACUGAUGAGGCACUUAUCGAAAACCCCACAUCAUCCACACUCAUCAGCCACAACAUGUCACCCCAAAUGAGGCAUCAGCUGCCUUCAAAAGGCUCAUUGCACAGUGUUUACCGCUUCCCUCGGACCCACUUUUGAUUUUACGGUCAGAGCUGGGUUCAAACAGCAGCUGUCUGGCAAAGACAGGUCUGCGGCUCCUAGCAGCUUCCCCCAGAGUCCUGGGGCUUUGUCUGGGGAACUUGGGGGAGCAGAUCCUGGCAGGGUGAGGGGACGUGGGAAGGCAGAGAAGUGUCCGGUUCCGUUUCUCUCAAAGAGGAAUCCCUUUCCCAGAAGGAGCCCUUGAUUAAUUUCAAGCACUAGCACACAGUGGUGGCAUAAUGGGGUGGGGGUGGGGGACGAGAAGCCAAAGAAGGAGACUUUCACAGAUUUCCUUAAAAUAGUAACAGGGUGGGUGGGGCCACGCAUGCAGACCAAAGUCCUAGAAAGGUCAAUCCCUUCAGGAAAGACAGAUCCAAGCCAGGAGAGCCAUACAAGUGACAGGUUGAACUGCAAGAUUCCACUCCGACGCCAGAAUUUGUCAAGAGGCCCGCAUUGUUGUUUCUCACUGAGGCAUAGGACCCACUGCAGGCCAUUGUUUCUCCAGCUCAAGUGGGCCUGUCUGGUUCACGGUGGAAGAAUGGGGGUGACAUGCGUGAGUUGCCAAGUAUAAAAGAACUACCGGUUCUAGAAAGGAAUGGGAGUUUAGCCACUAAUGCAGAGUAAAUAAACAUUUUUCACCA